CUCUCUACUCUCUCUGCUAUGAGAGAGCUCAAGAUGUUUACUUGCUGCCUUGCUGCUCCUGCUGAGGACCAUGCUGGACCAACCAGGAAACAGCUGAAGGAUCGGAACAAAUGGAUGCUCUCUAAUAAAGAUCUGAAAUACCUAGAUGAGCUUGAGAAGAAAUACCAAGCCGACGAAGAGAGGAUGAGGCUCCUGAAGGGCCUCUUGAAGAGGAGAGAAGCUCUGAGAGAGAGGGCUGAGAGAGAGAGGCAUUGAGGGCCAAGGAAGGGGAUGAACGCCUUGACAGCCAAAGAAUAUGAUGUGACCCUUCCGUUGAAAGUAUAAGAAGUGUCCUUCCCUUCCCAUUCCUGCCCUCCCUCAAGACUCACAGGCUGCAGCAGCUGAGGAGACAGUGGUGCCCUGAGAGGGGAGCAGGACAGCCAAUACAGAGUUGUGUAAAGUAGGAGUGAAAUUAGGCUACUCCUAAAGAUGUCAUAACAACACUAGUGGUAUGAUGUGACAUGGCUUAAAUUUUGGAAUAUCAUGCUACUAGUGUUGUAAUUACAUCUGUCACGUUAUACAACUCUGAGCCAAUGCUCCUCAACCAGAUCCGCGGAAGGACUGUCCAAAACAAGAACAUUGAUACAGAAUAACAUACAAGAUAUAUACGGUGUAAAAUACAUAUUGUAUAGUUACACACAUUAUACAGUAUACAUUCACAGUAUUCAUCUGUACAGUUAUAUACAUUAAGAAAUGCAAGAAUUAUAAUAUUUUAGUAAUGUUUAAUAUUAUUUCAUAUUAAACUCUUUAAAAUUCUGA